CAGAGUUGGUUCCUGGCUCAGAUUGAACGCUGGCGGCAGGCCUAACACAUGCAAGUCGAGCGGAUGACGGGAGCUUGCUCCUUGAUUCAGCGGCGGACGGGUGAGUAAUGCCUAGGAAUCUGCCUGGUAGUGGGGGACAACGUUUCGAAAGGAACGCUAAUACCGCAUACGUCCUACGGGAGAAAGCAGGGGACCUUCGGGCCUUGCGCUAUCAGAUGAGCCUAGGUCGGAUUAGCUAGUUGGUGGGGUAAUGGCUCACCAAGGCGACGAUCCGUAACUGGUCUGAGAGGAUGAUCAGUCACACUGGAACUGAGACACGGUCCAGACUCUUACGGGAGGCAGCAGUGGGGAAUAUUGGACAAUGGGCGAAAGCCUGAUCCAGCCAUGCCGCGUGUGUGAAGAAGGUCUUCGGAU
rnacentral:rRNA from 1 species